rnacentral:rRNA from 1 species
UGACCUCAAAUCAGGUAGGACUACCCGCUGAACUUAAGCAUAUCAAUAAGCGGAGGAAAAGAAACUAACAAGGAUUCCCCUAGUAACUGCGAGUGAAGCGGGAAAAGCUCAAAUUUGAAAUCUGGCAGCUCUUUGAACUGUCCGAGUUGUAAUCUAGAGAAGUGUUACCUGUGUUGGACCGUGUACAAGUCUCCUGGAAUGGAGCGUCACAGAGGGUGAGAAUCCCGUCUUUGACACGGACUGCCUGCACGUUAUGGUGCGCUCUCAAAGAGUCGAGUUGUUUGGGAAUGCAGCUCAAAAUGGGUGGUAAAUGCCAUCUAAAGCUAAAUAUUGGCGAGAGACCGAUAGCGAACAAGUACCGUGAGGGAAAGAUGAAAAGAACUUUGGAAAGAGAGUUAAACAGUACGUGAAAUUGCUGAAAGGGAAACGCUUGAAGUCAGUCGCGUCGGCUAGAAAUCAACCUUGCUUUUGCUUGGUGUACUUUCUUGUUGACGGGUCAGCAUCAAUUUUGACCGUCGGAUAAAGUCAUUGGGAAUGUGGCAUCUUAGGAUGUGUUAUAGCCCAUUGUCGCAUACGACGGUUGGGAUUGAGGAACUCAGCACGCCCGCAAGGGACGGGUUUUUUGACCACGUUCGUGCUUAGGA